AGUUAACAAUUGUGAAAGUUCCCUUAUGAAGACCAGGAAAAAAGUUGGGCUAAACGGACAGAACACAAAUUCUCUGGAUUUUGGCAAUGUCUAGAACUUUCUACAUGCUUGGAAAUUCUUCCAAGCUGUUCUGAGGUAGUGUGGGCUUCCAUGAAGACAGAAAGAGAGAAGAAAAUAUUAGGACACAGAGGAAGGAACAUGUGGAGACAUGUGAACAUGAAGAUGACCAUCUACAAGCCAAGGAGAGAGUCUCCAGAAGGAAGCAAUGCUAUCAACACCUUGAUCUCAAACUUGUAACCUCCAGAACUAUAAGGAAAUAAAUUUCUGUUAUUUAAGACA